GGGCAGGUGGCGAAACUGGUAAACGCUGGAGACUUAAAAUCUCCCGACCGCAAGGUCAUGCGGGUUCGAGUCCCGCCCUGCCCA
rnacentral:tRNA from 1 species